rnacentral:rRNA from 1 species
GACGAACGCUGGCGGCGUGCCUAAUACAUGCAAGUAGAACGCAGUUGCGAACGGGUGAGUAACGCGUAGGUAACUGCCUCAUAGCGGGGGAUAACUCUUGGAAACGAUAGCUAAUACCGCAUAUUGUGAGAUGGACCUGCGUUGUAUUAGCUAGUUGGUGAGGUAAAGGCUCACCAAGGCGACGAUACAUAGCCGGCCUGAGAGGGUGAUCGGGCACACUUGGACUGAGACGCGGCCCAGACUCAUACGGGAGGCAGCAGGUGGGAAUCUUCGUCAAGUGGCGGAAGUCUGACCGAGCAACGCCGCGUGAGUGAAGAAGGUUUUCGGGUCGUAAAGCUCUGUUGUGAGAGAAGCGGUAACUAAACAGAAAGGGACGGCUAACUACGUGCCAGCAGCCGCGGUAAUUC